UACAGAGGUCUCAAGCGUUGUUCGGAUUCAUUGGGCGUAAAGGGUGUGUAGGUGGCGCCGUAAGUCGGGUGUGAAAUUUCGGAGCUUAACUCCGAAACUGCAUUUGAUACUGGCGUGCUUGAGGACUGGAGAGGAGACUGGAAUUCAUGGUGUAGCAGUGAAAUGCGUAGAGAUCAUGAGGAAGACCAGUGGCGAAGGCGGGUCUCUGGACAGUUCCUGACACUGAGACACGAAGGCCAGGGGAGCAAACGGG
rnacentral:rRNA from 1 species